rnacentral:rRNA from 1 species
CAGGCCUAACACAUGCAAGUCGAACGAUGCUUUCGGGCAUAGUGGCGCACGGGUGCGUAACGCGUGGGAAUCUGCCCUUGGGUUCGGAAUAACCGUUGGAAACGACGGCUAAUACCGGAUGAAGUCGAUAAGACCAAAGAUUUAUCGCCUGAGGAUGAGCCCGCGUAGGAUUAGCUAGUUGGUGGGGUAAAGGCCUACCAAGGCGACGAUCCUUAGCUGGUCUGAGAGGAUGAUCAGCCACACUGGGACUGAGACACGGCCCAGACUCCUACGGGAGGCAGCAGUGGGGAAUAUUGGACAAUGGGCGCAAGCCUGAUCCAGCAAUGCCGCGUGAGUGAUGAAGGCCUUAGGGUUGUAAAGCUCUUUUACCCGGGAUGAUAAUGACAGUAUCGGGAGAAUAAGCUCCGUCUAACUCGGUGCCAGCAGCCGCGGUAAU